rnacentral:sRNA from 1 species
UGCCUCAGCUGUGACGAACAGAGCGAUUGUGUCUGCAAACUAAUAAAUAUAGAAUCAAAACAAAACUUAAAAAACUAAAUAACAAAUAGAUCUGUUUUAGACAGCGACUAACAGAUUUGUAUGUGUAAAUAUCACAGAUUUGUUUUAAAUAAUAUGAAUUGUUAUAAAAUCGAAUGCUCAGGUAGAGCUCACAAUAAUUGAACUGUGGUAGUGUGUAUACAGCGGAAUCUUCAUCGGGUUCAUUUAUAAUUCCUAUUGGAGACAAAUAUGGCGAUUCCGACCAGUUCGUGUAUUUUUCCAGAUCGUGGAUUUCAUUUAGGAGGAAGUUCUCAUGCGUGGCCAGUUUUUCAACAAAUCUCUUCUGUUGGUUUUGUGCAUACUUACAGAGAUGAACAAUACUUGAUGUAUUGUAAAUGAUUUCCAGUUCUUUGGCUACUAUUGGUGAAAUGGUAAACCAGACCGGGAACCCAUACAAUAAAAUAGGCCUUAUCGCUACUUUAUAGAGAAGUAGUUUUGUGUUCUGGGAUCGUGCGUGCUGGUUGAAUUUGAAAAGGUUGGUGAAAUGAACCCCCAGAUAUUUUAUUGACGUUUUCAAUGGAAUUUCAAUGUCUUCCAAUGUCAACCGUAACAGCUUACUUUCUGGGACUACAUAUUUUGGACAUUUUCCAGAGGCGUUUCGGAAGCAAAUUGCUGCUGAUUUUGAAGCGUUGAUUUGCAUACCCCACGUUUUGUAGUAGCUGUUGAUAAUAUUUAAAUGGGCUUUUACGCUAUUCAGAGCGGUUGUCGGUGAAGCGUCGUGCGAGUAAAUCAAGCAAUCGUCCGCGUAAAGAAUCGAUUGCGAAUUUUGGCCAAUGUGGGGAAAAUCGUACAGAAAAAAGUUAAACAUAUGUGGCGCCAACACACUUCCUUGAGGUACACCACUCCUUACUAAACCUAUUGAGGAAGAUAUACCAUUGAUGUGCACCAUGAAUUUGCGGCAAUUGAAGAAACUAAGCAUCAUUUUUAUGAGGUAUAGAUCUAUGCCAAUUUCAAUGAGCUUAUAUAGAAUUCCAACAUGACAUACGGAGUCGAAAGCUUUUUGAAUAUCCAAAGAUACAGCAACGGUGCACUUUUGAUUUCUUAAAUUUGAUGUUAUGUCGUUGUGGAACUUGAGGAGUGAGUAUAGUGUUGAAUGGGCAGGACCGAUUCAAGUAUUUUUCCAACGUUUGAAAGAAGUGAAAUUGGCCUGAAGUCGUCCACCGUGGUGCUAUUUGUUUUCUUUUUGAUUGGAAUAAUUUUCGCCAGUUUCCAUUGUAAAGAGAAAUAGCCGUUGUUUAUGCAGUGAUUAAAUACGCACGUAAAAAAUUUUAUAAUAGAAUCAGGAAAUUUCUUGAUUAAAAAAUUUGAAAUGCCAUCCGGACCACUUGAUUUCUUUGGAUUUAUAUUCAUAAUAAUGUUCCUUAUCGUUUCAGAAGAGGUGAAGUGGAAUCUAUCUGGAUUGUUUAUAGCACAAAAUCUAUCGUCAAAAGAAUAAAUGUGCGUUGUGGUGAUAUUCAAACAGGAAUCAACUCGAGAAGUGAGAUCGUCGACUGGAUUUAAAGGUAACUUUUCUUCAAAUAAAGUAGAAUAAUAAGAUUCAAACUUGUUUGCUAUUUCAAGGCUGUUUGUAAUAAAGUCAUUUCCAUGUUGCAGUUUUUGACAAUAUGCUGAUUUGUUUUUUCCUGUUAUUUGGGAAAUUUGCUUGAAUGCAGAUGGACUGGGUUUAAUACUUUUUAACUUUUCAUUGAAUUUCCUGGCAGACUCUAUAUUAACUAAUUCUUUAAUAAUAGUUUUUAAAAGUUGGACUUGUUUAGAGAGUAUAGAAUACUCAAGACUGAUUCUGUUUCCCGUCCUAUGAAAAAUUUUCUUUAAUUCUUUCUGCCAUUGAUGCUUUACUUUAAGGAACUUCUUUAUUUGGUCCGAGAGAGGUGGUUUUUUGUCCUUUAAUUCGAUUUUUUCUGAGUGCAUAUCAUGAAUACGAUUAAAUUCAUUGUUAAAAUUUCCUAUUAUGCAAUCAAUCUCAUCAUUCGUCAAGUUUCUAUUCGUCGGAGGCAUUAUAGUUUCUGACAUUGAGUCCAAGUCAUAUCGAAAGUUACUCCAGUUUGUGUUUUUAUACGAAGAAUAACGUCGUGGUUGCCUUAAAAUCAAACUUACAUUGUCAAGUUUCAACGCCAAUUUAAGUGGGAAAUGGUCAGAGAAGGUUGGUAGAGAAGAUAUUUGAUAGUUUCGAGUCGUCUGAUUUAUAAAAUGUGAACAUACUAGGAAGUGAUCCAAAUGGGAGGCUCCAUUAGGGUAAAAUGGUGUUGAGUCACAAAGACGUACAACAUCUAGCACGUUGUUGCCUAACCAUGUCCGCAAAGCUUUUCCAUUUGUGUUUUCACAUUGGUCUCCCCAUAUAGGACUUUUUGCGUUGAUAUCUCCUCCAAGGAUGAAGCCGUCAAAGGAAUUGCUUAAUUGAAGUAGCUUAUUCAAGUCAGAUUCAAGCAAGUUUACAGGAUAGCUACAUGGUACAUACAGUGACCCCAACAAGUACCUUUUUGAGCAGUUAUUCACAAUGGUUUCAAUUUCUAUUAAAGUUGAAUUUAUACCAACAUUAAUUGGGUUUAUACGCUUAAAAACAAUAUUGUUUUUCACUAUAACUGCAACUCCCAGAGAAGAAUUGUCGUAUAAAAAUUUGUAUCCAUAAAUCUUUACAUAUCUUUGUCUUUGGAGAUGACAUUCCUGUAUGAAGGCAACACCAAUAUUUUCACUAUGUAGAAUAUUUUGUAGUUCAAUUCUUCGACUAGUAUCAACUAGUGAACGUACGUUGAAUGUUAAACAUUUAAAGAUAUUAUGGACCAUAACUGGUUUUUACUUUAGCUAGAAGCCGUAAAAACUCCUUUUUGGCUUCGUUCUUUGGCAUAUUCUUGAACUCAUUUAAAAAAUUUUGAAUUUCCUGUUCCAGGGUAAGUUCUUCAGGUUGUAGGAAGAUAUUGGCCAGUUUCAAGAAUUCUCGAAUUAACGGCGGUUUUUGAAAGCUUUCCGUGCGAUCUGUUGGCAUUUUACUGAAUAAACUAGAAAAGGCUUUUCCAGGUGAAAUUGCCGACAUAUUAAAAAUUUGUUUAACAUUUCUUUGUGCGAUGUUUUUGUUUUCGGUGGCUUUUGCUAUUUUCUGUUUUCUGGCGAUGACAUAUUGUUUAUAAAUUGGACAUCCUUUCCAAUUCGCUGGGUGACCAUGUUUUUUUGCAAUUAAUGCAGAAAGGAUCUGUUGCGUCAGAGAUGGUACGUUGGCACUCACCAGGGAGGUGUUUUUGGUCGCAUUUAACGCAGUUGUAUGGACUGUUGCAGUUCCGAGCUAUAUGGCCUAAACCUUGACAUCUGCGGCACUGAAUUUCACUAUCCUUCUUUCUUGGGUUUUCCCAUGUUAUAGCUUGGUUCUGGAGCGUUCUAAUAUGCUAUAUUUCUGUAGUAUUUUUGCCCAGAAAAAGUGUUACCAUGAAAAGUCCAGUAUCGACGUUAUUUUUAAUUGACAAUGGCGUUGUGAAUUUGGUGACUCUGGCAACAGUAUCUGGAACCAGUAUGUCUAGUUCCCUUUUUAUUUCUUCUGUGUCAUAUAGUGAGUACAGAUUUCGAAUUAAGAUGGAGGCUUGUUUCAUACCCUUAGGUGUAAAUGAGUAUGAUCGUAUAUUUUUUUCCUUUAAUAUUGUCAUCAUGGAUGAGUGGGCUUUGAGAUCUGAAAAAUAUAAUUUACUUUUAGAUCUAUUGACAUUCUUGAUCUUGAAAGAUGAUUCUGGCAAACUUGUUUUUAGCUUUUCAACCAGAUAUGAUUGAUAUUGAUAUUGACAUCAAAAAUAAUAAUUGGAGGGCACCACGAAAUUUUGGUUUUAUGAGCACCAUCACAGUCACUCGAAUUUUUGGUGUUUUCUACAGGAGCAGACACUCCGAUGUCCACAUCGGCCAGAGCACCAAGAAUUCCAUAUUUGUUUUGAUCUUGUGGAUUAUGGUUCGUUAAUCGUUCAUUAAGAUCAGUUAUGUCGAUGUUGAUCGGUGAUAUGGCGCUUUCGAUCCUUUGUUUUUUGCGCUCUUUUUGUAUAUUUAUUUUGGCUGGGUUUUGACGCUUAUUGUUGUUGUUGUUAAAUCCGAUUGUAGAUGGUCGGAUGAAGUUGUUGCUAUGAUUUCUGAGACAUCAAAUUCCAUGUCUGGCAGACUUUCAGGCAUCUCCAUUGCAGCUAAAUGCAAUUGAGGAUGCCUAUAGGUAGUAAAUGGUUUUGAAAUACACGAAUUAUAAAUUUUGUUUACACGGUUAAGAAAAAUACGUCUGAUACGUUGUAGGGUUCGCUAGGUCGCCCGUCAACAUGAACUCGGAUGCUCUUGCGCUACUGAUUAUGUUUUGUUUUCGUUUCUCUUCUUGCGCUCAGCGCUCAGCUUAUGUAUGUGCUGCUUCACCAAAGUCAAGACAUAAAUGAAGAAAACACUGAAGUUGGUACAACUUGCCCUCGCACGCACCAACUUACGAAAUUAUCAAAAAUUUUUGAUAUUUCCAACCAACUUCAACCAACUUUCGAAAAAGUUGUACAACUAGCCCUCAGACGCACCAAUAGUUGUACCAACUUGUCACAAGUUGGGCCAACUGUUGGUGUGUCUGAGGGCAGCAUUACAUGCAGGUAAUAGAAACGAAUUCCGAUCGAAAGCAAUAUUAAGCCCGUAUUUUGCUUCUUUAGAAAACAAAACUUUUUUCUGUUUGAAACCCCUUGUAACUUUAAAACACUUUCAAGUAAUAAAAUCAAAUCAUUUCGAAAUUAAUACCACUUUCGAUCAGAAUUCGUUUCUUGACAUGCAUGACAAUUAUGCUGAUGACAUUCAUAUUUUGUUUAAAGUAGAAUACGGGUUUAUAGAUGUGUUUCAGUCAUCAGUUGAUGUUAAUAUGUUGGUUACUUGGUUGUCCGGUAGCGGCCUCUCAAUAAAUGUUAAACAAAUCUAAAGUUAUGUUUUUUGGGAACAUACAAGAGGAUUCAAUAAACGUUUCCUUUUAUAGGACACCUAUAAGUGAUGUAAGCUCGAUACGUCUUGGUAUGUUUCUUGAUUCUGAUUUGAUGUGCAUGUGAAUUCUUUAGUACGCAAGGUAAGCUUUAUUUUAAAAAAAUUGUACGGUUUGGAUUUAGUUUUGCCUUUUGAAACAACUGUUGAAUAGGGUUAUCGAUUGUUUUUUUUUUUUGUCAUACGUCGUGAUCAUAUAUCUCCUUCUGUGAAAAAGUUUUAAAUUGCAGAAAACUCUUCUCUUUUGGAUCUUUUUAAAUUUUCUAUGUCUGUAAACAACCGCAAAUCAUACCACGCUUGACUCCUCUGUUGGAAAAAUCCUUUUGUGUAAGAAUCACUCGCAUUUGUAAUAAUCUGACACCUAAUAUUAAGACAUUAAAUUCUUCCUUAAAAUGUUGUUUAACCCGCCAAUGGUGACGCUAAUUUGACUUUGAUUAAUGGUGACGCCGGUCUCAUGCACCGGGGUUUUCAACUGAAGUUUUUUCGAAACGUAUGACUUAUAGUUAAUAUUUUUUUUUAUUAUUUAUCCAC